rnacentral:rRNA from 1 species
UAGUGGCGGACGGGUGAGUAACGCGUGGGAAUCUGCCCUCAGGAGGGGGAUAACGGUUGGAAACGACCGCUAAUACCCCAUAUGCCGAGAGGUGAAACGAAAUUCGCCUGAGGAUGAGCCCGCGUCUGAUUAGCUAGUUGGUGGGGUAAAGGCCUACCAAGGCAUCGAUCAGUAGCUGGUCUGAGAGGAUGAUCAGCCACACUGGGACUGAGACACGGCCCAGACUCCUACGGGAGGCAGCAGUGGGGAAUUUUCCGCAAUGGGCGCAAGCCUGACGGAGCAACGCCGCGUGAGGGAUGAAGGCCUCUGGGCUGUAAACCUCUUUUCUCAAGGAAGGAGAACUGACGGUACUUGAGGAAUAAGCCACGGCUAA